rnacentral:sRNA from 2 species
AGGAGCUCCGAGUUGCCACCCAGGAAAAAGAGGGCUCCUCUGGGAGAUGUAUGCUUACUCUCUUAGGCCUUUCAUUCAUCUUGGCAGGACUUAUUGUUGGUGGAGCCUGCAUUUACAAGUACUUCAUGCCCAAGGUUGUAAUUUUCCCUUUUUGUCUUUUAGAGCACCAUUUACCGUGGAGAGAUGUGCU